GGCAGCCUGUAGCCUUGAGGUAACGGUGUCCGACUGGAACUCUGACGGUUUUUGGUUCAAAACCCACUGCUGCCA